rnacentral:lncRNA from 1 species
UACUAUAGGUAUUUUAGUAAAUUAAUUCACAUUCAUAUUUAUUUUGUCAAGUAAACACAUUAAUGUCAUUCCAGCAUAUUUUCAUUCCUCUUUAUUUUUACCAAGUAAAUAUUGGAAUCUCAUUCCUAUUCCUCAUUCUCAUUACAAUCAUUUCCAACUCAUUCUCAUUCUACUUCAUUCUUAUUACAUGAAGUAAACACACCAUAAAAAUUUAACUUUUCGGAGAAAAAAAAAAAGAGAAAAACCUUAAUUUUUGUCCUCUACUAUCACUACUCUCAGUCCAUAGCUACCACAACGUCUACCAAUCAUAACUCCUAAACACCACCUCACAAGUACAAACCCUAGGCACUAUCGUUGUUGUUAGUUUUCAAAACUCUUGCUGCCGUCGCUACCAACCCCGGCACUCAGAACCGCGUCGAGCCGCAAAUACAAUCGCGUCUAUCACACCAAUUGCCACCACGAUGGAAGGCAAAAAUAAAUAAAUUUGUGCCGACUCGCCAGCUUCCUUGUUUGCUGUUUAAUUAUCUAUAGUUUUCCUUUUUCCUUUUUGUGUUUAUUUUACUGCUACUACUGAUGUUGGUGUUAGAUUCAGUGUUGUUGAUGUUGGUGUUAGUUUCUUUGCCAAUCACCAAAAUCAUAACUCACAAAAUGAUACGUGAUUCCUGCCAAGGAGCUUGAUACGACGCUGAGUUGGAUUCCCACCUCCGUUGAGUUACUUUACUUUGAUUUAUGAGAAAAUUAAGGAAAAUGAAAGAAAGUAAUGAUUUCUUGACAUUUGAUAAUUUGGACUUUGUUGUUCAAAGGUUUUCUCAUUUUGGGUAGUUUAAACAAUUUUUUUUUCAAAUCUUCGUAACAUGCAAAAGCGAAAAAUGUUGUGAAAUCUUGUAUCUGUUGUAGGGGUAUUUUGGUACUUUCAAAGUCAGCUACAGUCACACACAUCCAAGGGGUGAAAUUAGGGAUGGCAAACAGCGGGUCUGGGCUGACCGGGCUUUUUCAAGCCCAUGUCCAAGCCCUGUGUCAGCUAAGUGUACGAGUCUGGGUCGGGCUCGAGCCGGGCUUGGGCUUUAUUUAUUUAUUUUAAAAUUUUUUAAAUUA